rnacentral:rRNA from 1 species
GAUGAACGCUGGCGGCGUGCCUAAUACAUGCAAGUCGAGCGAACGGACGAGAAGCUUGCUUCUCUGAUGUUAGCGGCGGACGGGUGAGUAACACGUGGAUAACCUACCUAUAAGACUGGGAUAACUUCGGGAAACCGGAGCUAAUACCGGAUAAUAUUUUGAACCGCAUGGUUCAAAAGUGAAAGACGGUCUUGCUGUCACUUAUAGAUGGAUCCGCGCUGCAUUAGCUAGUUGGUAAGGUUACGGCUUACCAAGGCAACGAUGCAUAGCCGACCUGAGAGGGUGAUCGGCCACACUGGGACUGAGACACGGUCCAGACUCCUACGGGAGGCAGCAGUAGGGAAUCUUCCGCAAUGGGCGAAAGCCUGACGGAGCAACGCCGCGUGAGUGAUGAAGGUCUUCGGAUCGUAAAACUCUGUUAUUAGGGAAGAACAUAUGUGUAAGUAACUGUGCACAUCUUGACGGUACCUAAUCAGAAAGCCACGGCUAACUACGUGCCAGCAGCCGCGGUAAUACGUAGGUGGCAAGCGUUAUCCGGAAUUAUUGGGCGUAAAGCGCGCGUAGGCGGUUUUUUAAGUCUGAUGUGAAAGCCCACGGCUCAACCGUGGAGGGUCAUUGGAAACUGGAAAACUUGAGUGCAGAAGAGGAAAGUGGAAUUCCAUGUGUAGCGGUGAAAUGCGCAGAGAUAUGGAGGAACACCAGUGGCGAAGGCGACUUUCUGGUCUGUAACUGACGCUGAUGUGCGAAAGCGUGGGGAUCAAACAGGAUUAGAUACCCUGGUAGUCCACGCCGUAAACGAUGAGUGCUAAGUGUUAGGGGGUUUCCGCCCCUUAGUGCUGCAGCUAACGCAUUAAGCACUCCGCCUGGGGAGUACGACCGCAAGGUUGAAACUCGAAGGAAUUGACGGGGACCCGCACAAGCGGUGGAGCAUGUGGUUUAAUUCGAAGCAACGCGAAGAACCUUACCAAAUCUUGACAUCCUUUGACAACUCUAGAGAUAGAGCUUUCCCCUUCGGGGGACAAAGUGACAGGUGGUGCAUGGUUGUCGUCAGCUCGUGUCGUGAGAUGUUGGGUUAAGUCCCGCAACGAGCGCAACCCUUAAGCUUAGUUGCCAUCAUUAAGUUGGGCACUCUAAGUUGACUGCCGGUGACAAACCGGAGGAAGGUGGGGAUGACGUCAAAUCAUCAUGCCCCUUAUGAUUUGGGCUACACACGUGCUACAAUGGACAAUACAAAGGGCAGCGAAACCGGGAGGUCAAGCAAAUCCCAUAAAGUUGUUCUCAGUUCGGAUUGUAGUCUGCAACUCGACUACAUGAAGCUGGAAUCGCUAGUAAUCGUAGAUCAGCAUGCUACGGUGAAUACGUUCCCGGGUCU